AUUGAACGCUGGCGGCAGGCCUAACACAUGCAAGUCGAGCGGAUGAAGGGAGCUUGCUCCUGGAUUCAGCGGCGGACGGGUGAGUAAUGCCUAGGAAUCUGCCUGGUAGUGGGGGAUAACGUCCGGAAACGGGCGCUAAUACCGCAUACGUCCUGAGGGAGAAAGUGGGGGAUCUUCGGACCUCACGCUAUCAGAUGAGCCUAGGUCGGAUUAGCUAGUUGGUGGGGUAAAGGCCUACCAAGGCGACGAUCCGUAACUGGUCUGAGAGGAUGAUCAGUCACACUGGAACUGAGACACGGUCCAGACCCCUACGGGAGGCAGCAGUGGGAAAUAUUGGACAAUGGGCGAAAGCCUGAUCCAGCCAUGCCGCGUGUGUGAAGAAGGUCUUCGGAUUGUAAAGCACUUUAAGUUGGGAGGAAGGGCAGUAAGUUAAUACCUUGCUGUUUGGACGUUACCAACAGAAUAAGCACCGGCUAACUUCGU
rnacentral:rRNA from 1 species